UGGGUCUUGAAGCAGCGGGGGGCGGGAAGAGUGGGCUGCCAGUUCGGAGUUUGGAAAAACUGGAGUGCGGGGGGGAUAGAGAGGGAGGUUGUUUUCAGUGGCUUUUGGAAAGGAGCCGCUUUGGUGGGAUUCCUUUGCGAUUGUUGAGCAUGUUGUGGAAUGCUCUGUACUCCGAAUCUUCCCUUGUUUCGCAAUGAGCCCUUUCCGGUUAUGUAUUGGCUGCUUCCAGCCAUUAUAUGUCCAAGUUUAUAUCUCGCCUGCUUUGCGAGCUUAGUCUGUGCGCUGAGUUUAGGGUUCAAGAAGUUAGAAUUAAGACCAGUGUUUCUCAAUCGCAGAGCCUUUAAGUUGUGUGGACUUCAACUCCCAGAAUUCCUCAGCACAGUUGAAAGACUCUGAGAUUGAGAAACACUGAUUUAGACCAUUGGGUUAACUGAAUAAACUGGGGCUCGCUUAAGCCUGGCUAAAUGCGAGCGCGGCCAGGGUUACCUCUCCACUGAUUUCGCCGGACUUCCUUACUUCCAAGACUCAAAGUAAAAAGGAGGAAAGGUAAGAUUACCGAAUCUGGGCUCCAAAAGGACGGCCGCGUAAACUCUCCUCGCUGACAUGUAGCAGCCUAAACGUGGGAAUAAAAAAGGGAAACAAAGACCAACCAUUUGAAUGUUCUACAAUAGAACAGUAACGGCAAAGAGUUACAUUUGUUAUGCAAUCGUAGGUGCCCGCCGAGGGGAUUAAAUUACAAAACGUGCAUAUUAAAUGUGUUCAUUUCUCUAUUUUUAAACCAAAGUUACAGAUUUGGGAAGCUGUAGGCAGCUUGGAGUUGGCUAUUGCAGGGACCUAUAAACCCUGUAAAUAACUAAACAUUGACAUAAUCAUGCAAAUACCGUGACAUGUAUUUGUAUCAGACACCAAGAUGUGAGUAUAUUUGGUGGCAUUUGUGUGAUGAUGUACCAUGUGCACGGUGUCAUUGUAGCUUGCUGUGGACGUUUACUUUUAUUUCUGGCAGGCUUCUCUACUGACGUUUAUUUGACAUCUAGUCUCACACCAUUCAGCACCCCAGAUGAUGGGAAGGUUCCACCAUGCUCCUCAUCUUGGCUGACCCGCUUACCUGUUCAGAUCAAGUGGAGAACCUAUGCCCAAUCCAUGAACAUAAUUGUUUAGGGGGAAAGGUGAUUCCCCCCCCCUGUUACUAUGGUAAGUAUUGCCCCGUGAUAUUCAGAUUACUGCCUUUCUGACUGACUUCUUCCAUCUUCUCCAAUAUCUCCUGCCCUGUUGAGUCUCCACCACAUAAGAGCCUCUUCUCUCUUUUGAACAUAGAAGCUGGAAUCCAUCUGUUGUCCAAUGUUCAAAAAGGGCAAUGACAAACAGGAACAAGUUUAAAGGGGGUCUGCCAAGAUGGAGAAGAAUCUGGAAACCAAGCCCUAACAGGAACAAAUAAAUGAUCGAGAGACUUGUUCAGCUGGUUCAUGUGAUGAAAGAUGUCUGCUAAGUAUGCUAAUUUCUGCAACCAUUCUCCAUCUUCAAAGCACUCAGCAAAAUGUGGAAUACUAUUUUCUCAAAAAUACUCUUGCAGUUCUGCCUUCAACUCAAACACCCUGUUGAGAACUCUUCCUCUGCUGAGCCACAAUAUUUCUGUAUGUAACAGGAGACUUAGGUGCUCUUUGUCCAGGUUUUCACACAAUUUUUAAACAUUCUGGAGUGAACUGCUUUUUGUUUAAUAAAGUUAACCAUUUUUUAGCAUCAUCCAGAACUUUUUUCAUUUCAUCUCCAAGAGUUUUUUACAUCAACACCUCUCUAUGAAGAAAGCAGUGUGUUGUGACAACAUCAGGAUUUUCUUUUCUUACAAGAGAAACAAAACCUCUCGUGGAGCCAACCAUUGAUGGAGCACCAUCAGUAUAGAUGCCAACACAGUUCCUCCAAGACAGACUUUUGCUGGCUGGGGAAUUCUGGGAGUUGAAGUCCACGCAUUUUAAAGUUGCCAAGGUUGAGAAACACUGAUAUAAGGUAUAUCGUUGACCACUGUCUAUUUUUACAUCCUUUUGGUGGCCUUCAGACACCCUCCUUAUAGUCUAUAGUCCUAAUAUUAAUAUUAAGAAUUGUUAAAGAUAUAUUUUAGUGUUCUAAUUUUAUAGCAUUGUGUUAACUUUUAGUUAUCUUUCCUAAAUUUCAGUGGUAUUAUUGGAAUGGAUAUCAUUUUUCUUGUUUGCAUUUUAUACUUUACAGUAUACUGAAAUAAAGAUUUGAUUGAUUGA